rnacentral:rRNA from 1 species
CGAACGGUAGUCAGGUACUUGCACCUGAUGAGAGUGGCGAACGGGUAAGUAACACGUAGGUGAUCUACCUAGAAGUAGGGGAUAGCCUGUGGAAACACAGGGUAAUACCGAAUGAGCCUAUAUACAUACGUAUAUGUAGGGAAAGAGGCUCAGGCCUCGCUUGUAGUUGAGCCUACGGCUCACUAGCUAGUUGGGAGGGUAAAGGCCUACCAAGGCGACGAUAAGUAGCCGACCUGAGAGGGUGGGCGGUCACACUGGGACUGAGACACGGCCCAGACUCCUACGGGAGGCAGCAGCUAAGAAUCUUCCGCAAUGGUCGAAAGGCUGCCGGAGCGACGCCGCGUGGACGAAGAAGGCCGGAAGGUUGUAAAGUUCUUUUCUCCGCAGAAGAAUAACGGUGAGGCAGGGAAUGCCUACAUUGAUAGACGUAUAUCUGCAGGACAUCAGCCCCGAGCUAAUUACGUAGCCAGCAGCCGACGGAAACACGUAAGGGGCGAGCGUAGUACGGAAUUAUAGGGCGUACAGGGC